GCACACGGUGGUUUAGUGGUUUGAACAUUCGCCUCACACAUCCAGGGUCUGGGGUUCGAGUCCCUGCCAGAGCC